rnacentral:pre_miRNA from 1 species
GAGGUACUCCCUCCAUCCAAAAAUACUUGUCAUCAAAAUGAAUAAAAAUAGAUGUAUCUAAAACUAAAAUACGUCUAGAUGCAUCUCCUUUUAUCCAUUUUGAUGACAAGUAUUUCUGGACGGACGGAGUACUAG